GAACGCUAGCUACAGGCUUAACACAUGCAAGUCGAGGGGCAGCAUGGUCUUAGCUUGCUAAGGCCGAUGGCGACCGGCGCACGGGUGAGUAACACGUAUCCAACCUGCCGUCUACUCUUGGACAGCCUUCUGAAAGGAAGAUUAAUACAAGAUGGCAUCAUGAGUCCGCAUGUUCACAUGAUUAAAGGUAUUCCGGUAGACGAUGGGGAUGCGUUCCAUUAGAUAGUAGGCGGGGUAACGGCCCACCUAGUCUUCGAUGGAUAGGGGUUCUGAGAGGAAGGUCCCCCACAUUGGAACUGAGACACGGUCCAAACUCCUACGGGAGGCAGCAGUGAGGAAUAUUGGUCAAUGGGCGAGAGCCUGAACCAGCCAAGUAGCGUGAAGGAUGACUGCCCUAUGGGUUGUAAACUUCUUUUAUAAAGGAAUAAAGUCGGGUAUGCAUACCCGUUUGCAUGUACUUUAUGAAUAAGGAUCGGCUAACUCCGUGCCAGCAGCCGCGGUAAUACGGAGGAUCCGAGCGUUAUCCGGAUUUAUUGGGUUUAAAGGGAGCGUAGAUGGAUGUUUAAGUCAGUUGUGAAAGUUUGCGGCUCAACCGUAAAAUUGCAGUUGAUACUGGAUAUCUUGAGUGCAGUUGAGGCAGGCGGAAUUCGUGGUGUAGCGGUGAAAUGCUUAGAUAUCACGAAGAACUCCGAUUGCGAAGGCAGCCUGCUAAGCUGCAACUGACAUUGAGGCUCGAAAGUGUGGGUAUCAAACAGGAUUAGAUACCCUGGUAGUCCACACGGUAAACGAUGAAUACUCGCUGUUUGCGAUAUACAGCAAGCGGCCAAGCGAAAGCGUUAAGUAUUCCACCUGGGGAGUACGCCGGCAACGGUGAAACUCAAAGGAAUUGACGGGGGCCCGCACAAGCGGAGGAACAUGUGGUUUAAUUCGAUGAUACGCGAGGAACCUUACCCGGGCUUAAAUUGCAGAUGAAUUACGGUGAAAGCCGUAAGCCGCAAGGCAUCUGUGAAGGUGCUGCAUGGUUGUCGUCAGCUCGUGCCGUGAGGUGUCGGCUUAAGUGCCAUAACGAGCGCAACCCUUGUUGUCAGUUACUAACAGGUCAUGCUGAGGACUCUGACAAGACUGCCAUCGUAAGAUGUGAGGAAGGUGGGGAUGACGUCAAAUCAGCACGGCCCUUACGUCCGGGGCUACACACGUGUUACAAUGGGGGGUACAGAGGGCCGCUACCACGCGAGUGGAUGCCAAUCCCCAAAACCUCUCUCAGUUCGGACUGGAGUCUGCAACCCGACUCCACGAAGCUGGAUUCGCUAGUAAUCGCGCAUCAGCCACGGCGCGGUGAAUACGUUCCCGGGCCUUGUACACACCGCCCGUCAAGCCAUGGGAGCCGGGGGUACCUGAAGUGCGUAACCGCGAGGAGCGCCCUAGGGUAAAACUGGUGACUGGGGC
rnacentral:rRNA from 1 species